rnacentral:rRNA from 1 species
GGGAAUUUUGCGCAAUGGGGGAAACCCUGACGCAGCAACGCCGCGUGAGUGAUGAAGGCCUUCGGGUCGUAAAGCUCUUUUAGUGGGGAAGAAUCCCACCCGGGCUAAUACCUCGGGUGUCUGACGGUACCCACAGAAAAAGUUCCGGCUAACUACGUGCCAGCAGCCGCGGUAAUACGUAGGGAGCAAGCGUUGUUCGGAAUUAUUGGGCGUAAAGAGCGCGUAGGCGGUUCGGUAAGUCUGACGUGAAAUCCCGGAGCUUAACUCCGGAACUGCGUUGGAUACUGCCGAGCUUGAGUGUGGGAGAGGAGAGUGGAAUUCCCAGUGUAGAGGUGAAAUUCGUAGAUAUUGGGAGGAACACCCGUGGCGAAGGCGGCUCUCUGGACCACAACUGACGCUGAGGCGCGAAAGCUAGGGUAGCAAACGGGAUUAGA